AAGUGGGUGAGUAAGUCCUUUAACAUUCCUUUGGUGCUCCCUUCUAUAGGUUGGGUAUGAGCCUCAGGAUACGAGUGUUAAAGGGAUCACCCAUUU
rnacentral:sRNA from 1 species